rfam:Echinostoma caproni strain Egypt genome assembly, scaffold: ECPE_scaffold0008580
GGCCUCGUAGCUCAGCUGGUAGAGCAUGCGCGUACAAAGCGUAGGCGGCGUCCAUGCGUCGGUUCCAAUCCCACCGAGGCUA